CUCGGGGCGCGCGGGUCAGCCGGCGGCCGCCGGCCCUCGGGGUCGGUCGCCCGAGGACAGCUCUUCCAGGGGCGGGAGAGCCACCUCCGGUCCGUGCGCGCCCCGGACGCGCUCCUUCGCUCCUGGAGGGCUGCAAGCCCAGAGAGAGGAAGUAACUUGCCCUGGAUGAGGAAGAUGGGAGAAAGCCGGUCUUGUGAUCAGGUUUCAGAGUGCCAGUCUGAUCGCUGAUUCAUGGGCUUCCCUGGUGACUCAGAGGGGAAAGAAUCUGCCUACAUUGCAGAAAAC